GAUGAACGCUGGCGGCGUGCCUAAUACAUGCAAGUCGAGCGAACGGACGAGAAGCUUGCUUCUCUGAUGUUAGCGGCGGACGGGUGAGUAACACGUGGAUAACCUACCUAUAAGACUGGGAUAACUUCGGGAAACCGGAGCUAAUACCGGAUGAUAUUUUGAACCGCAUGGUUCAAAAGUGAAAGACGGUCUUGCUGUCACUUAUAGAUGGAUCCGCGCUGCAUUAGCUAGUUGGUAAGGUAACGGCUUACCAAGGCAACGAUGCAUAGCCGACCUGAGAGGGUGAUAGGCCACACUGGAACUGGGACACGGUCCAGACUACUACGGGAGGCAGCAGUAUGGAAUCUUACGCAGUGGGCGGAAGCCUGACGGAGCAACGCCGAGUGAGUGAUGAAGGUCCUCGGAUCGUAAAAAUCUGUUAUGAGGGAAGAACAUAUGUGUAAGUAACUGUGCACAUCUUGACGGUACCUAAUCAGAAAGCAACGGCUAACUACGUG
rnacentral:rRNA from 1 species